rnacentral:rRNA from 1 species
AGCAGUCGCCGCGGUAACACAGAGGGUGCGAGCGUUAAUCGGAUUUACUGGGCGUAAAGCGUGCGUAGGCGGCUUUUUAAGUCGGAUGUGAAAUCCCUGAGCUUAACUUAGGAAUUGCAUUCGAUACUGGGAAGCUAGAGUAUGGGAGAGGAUGGUAGAAUUCCAGGUGUAGCGGUGAAAUGCGUAGAGAUCUGGAGGAAUACCGAUGGCGAAGGCAGCCAUCUGGCCUAAUACUGACGCUGAGGUACGAAAGCAUGGGGAGCAAACAGGAUUAGAUACCCCCGUAGUCCCUGUCUCUUAUAC